rnacentral:rRNA from 1 species
GGGACGGCUAACUACGUGCCAGCAGCCGCGGUAAUACGUAGGUCCCGAGCGUUAUCCGGAAUUAUUGGGCGUAAAGGGCACGUAGGCGGACAAAUAAAGUUUGAUGUCAAAUAUGAUGGCUCAACCAUCAAGAGGCGUUGAAAACUGUUUAUCUAGAAUCUCGGAGAGGUAAGUGGAAUUCCAUGUGUAGCGGUGGAAUGCGUAGAUAUAUGGAGGAACACCAAUGGCGAAGGCAGCUUACUGGACGAAGAUUGACGCUGAGGUGCGAAAGCGUGGGUAGCAAACAGGAUUAGAUACCCUGGUAG